AAAACGACUCUCGGCAACGGAUAUCUCGGCUCUCGCAUCGAUGAAGAACGUAACGAAAUGCGAUACUUGGUGUGAAUUGCAGAAUCCCGUGAACCAUCCAGUCUUUGAACGCAAGUUGCGCCCGAAGCCAUUAGGCCGAGGGCACGCCUGCCUGGGCGUCACAC
rnacentral:rRNA from 1 species